ACAGAAAUCGACCCAAAACCAACUGGCCCAAAAAUCAACUUUAAAAUCGGCCCAUUGUACCAAAAAAACACCCAAGCCCCAAUCCAUUGAUCUGAAAAUCUACCCAAACCCAACUGGCCCAAAAAAUCACUGACACAGAAAUCGACCCAAAAUCAACUUUAAAAUCGGCCCAUUGAUCCAAAACAUACCCAAACCCCAAUCCAUUGAUCUGAAAAUCUACCCAAAAUCAACUGGCCCAAAAAUCAAUUUUAAAAUCGGCCCAUUGAUCCAAAAACACCCCAACCCCAAUCCAUUGACCUGAAAAUCUACCCAAACCCAACUGGCCCAAAAAAUCACUGACACAGAAAUCGACCCAAAACCAACUGGCCCAAAAAUCAACUUCAAAAUCAGCCCAUUGUACCAAAAAAACACCCAAGCCCCAAUCCAUUAACCUGAAAAUCAACCCAAAACCAACUGGCCCAAAAAAACACCAACACAGAAAUCUACCCAAACCCAGCUGACCCAAAAAUCAACUUUAAAAUCGGCCCAUUGAUCCAAAAACACCCCAACCCCAAUCCAUUCAUCUGAAAAUCUACCCAAACCCAACUGGCCCAAAAAAACACCGACACAGAAAUCAACCCAAAACCAACUGGCCCAAAAAUCAACUUAAAAGUUGGCCCAUUGAUCCAAAAAAACACCCCAACCCCAAUCCAUUAACCUGAAAAUCAACCCAAAACCAACUGGCCCAAAAAUCAAUUUUAAAAUCGGCCCAUUGAUCCAAAAACACCCAAACCUCAAUCCAUUGAUCUGAAAAUCUACCCAAAACCAACUGGCCCAAAAAAUCAACUUCAAAAUCGGCCCAUUGUACCAAAAAAACACCCAAGCCCCAAUCCAUUGAUCUGAAAAUCUACCCAAACCAACUGGCCCAAAAAAUCACUGACACAGAAAUCGACCCAAAACCAACUGGCCCAAAAAUCAACUUUCAAAUCGGCCCAUUGAUCCAAAAACACCCAAACCCCAAUCCAUUGACCUGAAAAUCUACCCAAACCCAACUGGCCCAAAAAAACACCAACACAGAAAUCAACCCAAAACCAACUGGCCCAAAAAAACACCGACACAGAAAUCG
rnacentral:lncRNA from 1 species